UUUGCUGUCAGUUUUUCUGUUUGUUGUUUAUCUUGAUUUUAUGCCUUUUAUAUCAAGGCACAUAAAAGGCAUAAAACCAAGAGAAGCAACAGAAAAAGGAUUGAUCACAGAAG
ensembl:miRNA